rnacentral:rRNA from 1 species
UACGAAGGGGGCUAGCGUUGUUCGGAUUUACUGGGCGUAAAGCGCACGUAGGCGGAUCGUUAAGUCGGGGGUGAAAUCCUGGAGCUCAACUCCAGAACUGCCUUCGAUACUGGCGAUCUUGAGUCCGGAAGAGGUGAGUGGAACUCCUAGUGUAGAGGUGGAAUUCGUAGAUAUUCGCAAGAACACCAGUGGCGAAGGCGGCUCACUGGUCCAUUACUGACGCUGAGGUGCGAAAGCGUGGGGAGCAAACAGG